UACGUAGGGGGCAAGCGUUGUCCGGAUUUAUUGGUCGUAAAGAGCGUGUAGGCGGCCAGGUAGGUCCGUUGUGAAAACUCGAGGCUCAACCUCGAGACGCCGAUGGAAACCAUCUGGCUAGAGUCCGGAAGAGGAGAGUGGAAUUCCUGGUGUAGCGGUGAAAUGCGCAGAUAUCAGGAAGAACACCCGUGGCUAAGGCGGCUCUCUAGUACGGUACUGACGCUGAGACGCGAAAGCGUGGGGAGCGAACAGG
rnacentral:rRNA from 1 species